rnacentral:rRNA from 1 species
UACGUAGGGUGCGAGCGUUGUCCGGAAUUAUUGGGGCGUAAAGAGCUCGUAGGCGGUUUGUCGCGUCGACUGUGAAAACCUACAGCUUAACUGUGGGCUUGCAGUCGAUACGGGCAGACUUGAGUUCGGUAGGGGAGACUGGAAUUCCUGGUGUAGCGGUGAAAUGCGCAGAUAUCAGGAGGAACACCGAUGGCGAAGGCAGGUCUCUGGGCCACUACUGACGUGAGAAGCGAAAGCAUGGGGAGCAAACAGG